rnacentral:lncRNA from 1 species
UUUAGUUAAUAUCCUUCUUAUUAGAAAGGGAGAAUUUAUAUUAUGUAGUUCAAACUGACUUAAUCAGUGGCGUUGCUUGGAUCUGCAGGAUUCAUGGCUGGGGCAGGCUGAGUUAAUUUGGGGAGUGUGCAGUGGUGUCUGCUCUAGGUAGACCUCUUCAGUCCUGAGCACAGCUCUACAGCCUCAUCUGGGACUGGACUUCCAAUUUUGCACUUCAUUUUCAAUCACUGAGAUGCUUAAGUAGUUGACUUUAAAAUACAACUUAAAUUCAUUGUACCUCUAUAACCUUUUUUAAGAAAGGUUUUUAAAAAUAUGGUCCUCAACAUUUAAUGGCACACUGUUCUUUCAGUUCUUAAUGCUAUUUCUUUAGAUAAAUGAAAUUAAAAGCAUAUUGUAAAAUAUUUCAAACUCUGGAUUACAAAUAAAAAGACAAACAGUGUUCUCUCAGUUGUAAGAUGCUGUGCUGAAAACUUUGAGGGGCUUGGGCAUGAACUUGGGACAUUGUCUUUUAAACAUUUCAAGCUGUGAUUGCUUUUAAGUGGAAGAAAAAUGAAAAUUGCUAUGUUGCUCUUUUAUUUGACAGCUUAUGGAAUACUUUCAGUAUACUUGGUAGUAGAUGCAGCUCACAGCUUUCAUUAUCUCAUGUGAUCUGUUUCUUCUUUUUUUGUUGCUCUUUGAGAGGAGGAAAAAGUAAUUAGACAGAAAGGUCAAAAAAAUGGUGGAGUAUGCAGGAGAGAGUUAUGUGCACAAAACGUAAAAUGGCUUUGAAAAUCUAAGCUACUUGAAGCAUGCUUCAGACUGAAAGUAUCUUUCACAGUCCUUUUUCUGGCCUUUCUUCUUCAUUUUAACCUCUGACCACAAUGGGGAGAGUCUGUGCUGGACAUGUCAAAGAAAUUUGAUGUAAGUGAGGAAGGAUUUGGGAAGAGCAACAGUGUAUUUUGCUGGACCAGCUGGUGUAAACCUGGAUGUGCAGGGGAAAUAGAUGAGCUUUUGGAGUCUUGCCUCCUAAAAUUGUGCUUCAAAAAGUGCAAAGCCUCCAGGAGGCUUCAUGGCUUCAGCAACAGUGUGGCCAGGGAGACCAGGGCAGUGAUUGUCCCCUUGUACUCAGCACUGGUGAGGCCGCUCCUGGGGUUCUGUGUCCAGUUCUGGACCCCUAAUUCAAUGGGGACAUUUGAGGUGCUGGAGAAGGUCCAGAGAAGGGAAACACAGCUGGGAAAGGGCCUGAAACAUAAAUUCUCUGAGGAGCAGCUGAGGGAACUGGGGAUGCUUAUUGUGGAGAAAAGGAGGCCCAGGGGUCACUCUCUUUAACUUGUCACUCUCUUGUCACUCUCUUUAACUCCCCAAAAGGAGAGUGUAGCCAGGUGGGGGUCAGGCUCUUCUGCCAGGGAACAAGUGGGAGGACAAGGGGAAAUGGCCUUAAGUUGUGCCAUGGGAGUUUUGGGUUGGACAUCAGAAGAAUUUUUCAUGGGCUGCCCAGGGAGGUGGUAGAGUCACUGUUCCUGGAAGUGUUCAGGAAACAACUGGAUGAGGCACUUAGUCCUGUGUUUUAGGUGGUGGUUAAUUAAAGCACUUUCCCUUCUGAUUUGGUUCCCCAUCAAAGCCUCAAGUAGCUUCCUCUUUUGCAGCAGAUAGGUUUGCCAAAAGUACCUGCCUUGAUGGCUGGAGCAGCUGUUGGCCUUCUACGGCUCAUAACACCUGGUUUGUUAAGAUGAACAAAACCUGAUGCUAAUUUGCCUUGAAGCUUCUCUUUGCCACUUCUAAAGCAAGUUAUUGUCCAUGCAGCAGGGAGAAACUUGCAGCUUAAGGUGAUGUUUUUACUAGUUCUCUAUGUUAGUAGAUCUUGUGAGCCAGUGCUUUAAGGACUUGCUAUCUCUGACUCAAGAUUUUCCUACAGUGAGAGUGUUCUAUACAAGAGUAAUUUUCUCUUUUGGGCUCUCUGCUUAUUAAAAGAGUUGAGUUUUUGGAGCUCAAAGAAGCAGCUCUGUUUAGCUAUUUGUUUUUCCAAAGGUGUAGACACACAUUAUUUACAAGGUUUCUUUAUGUGUAUAUUCCAUGAUUCAAAGGAAUGAGUGGGAGAAAAAAAAGUUAUUGUUACAGUGUGAUUGAAUAAGCCAUUUUCAUGGCACAAUGUACUAAAAUGUUUUGGUCUAUCAUUUGUUUUCUUGAUUACCAUUUCAUCAUUCAGUUCAUGCUUAUCUAGUGCAUCUGAUGUCUGCUCAGAAAGGGUUUGCCAUCAUCUAAUGCACUAGUCCUUCAAAAUUUGUAUUCAAUUGCCCCUUUCUUUUUUAUGUUUGCUUAAAUCUUGGCUUUUUUUCUCCCUUUGAUAUGGGAUUGAUCUUGAAGGUAAGUGUUAGAGAAGAUUUUGGUGGCUGUAAAGUGCAAUGACAGGGAGCUUAUAAUCUACUUUGUUACUGCCAGGGUAUCUUUAUAGGUCCUUCUUUGUUUCCUGAUUGUUCAAAUGAAACCAAAUCGUGUCUCAACCACAGCUUUCAAAAUCCUGCUUUGACACCUUAAGCUCCUGAGGACCUCAGACACUUCUGAAAAAUACAAUUUAACUAAGUCAUGAAUAGGUUUUGCAGUGCUAAACACAGCAACUUCUAAAACACUACUAAAAACCUCAGACCUUGUGUUUUCAGAGAACUUGCAGAAGAAAUUUAUCAAAGCCAGAUCAUUUUUCCAAGAAGGAAUCUUGUGGAAACCCACUCAGCAGUGGCCGUAAGCGGAGUCACACUGGUACCUGAACAAAAACUGGUCCAAGGCAGCUUCCUAUCCUGGAAAGAUUUGGGAUUCCUCUGGUCAUUACCCUUUCUCUUUCAGUGUUCCUAGUGAAGACCUUGCAUGGAUAUGGAUACAUUCUUCAUUUCUCUUCACUCCCAGUGCAGUUGGUGUUGGCUGUGGGAACACUCAAUGCUUCUCAGGUGUGGGAUGCCAGUCUCCAUCCAGGCAUCCGUGAGCUUGAUGUCCAUGGCAGACCUGACCCUGGAGCCUGCUCUCCCAGCAGUCCCACUCUGUGUGCCAGAGACAGAUCUGGGGCUGGGGAUUUAUCCCUGUAGCGCAGCAGAGGAGGUGAGGGAGCUGUGCAGGGAGAGUCUGGCUCGUGCCCACCAGUGAACGUGCUGCAGAUGUGUCUGGGGCUGCGCCUGUGCCUGGUGGGAGGGAGCAGCUGCUGCUCCCAAAAGUCCUGCUCAGCACAGAAAGCACUCUGCUCGAGACCAGGGGUGCAUGUGACCUUCCUCAAGCUGGAAUGUGUACAAACAAAACAGGCCUGAAAUAAAAUGCAAUUAUAAAC